GGAUUGUUAGCUCAAGGGUUAGAGCGACCAGGGGAAAUGGCAACAAAGUCAUACCAGGCCGAGAGGCAUGUAGGACAGGAGCCCUAGCCUGCGGGUCGUAGGUUCGAGUCCUACACAGUCCA